AACACCUGGCGGCGUGCCUAACACAUGCAAGUCGAACGAGAAAGUCCCGCAAGGGAUGAGUACAGUGGCGCACGGGUGAGUAACACGUAGCUAACCUACCUUCGAGUGUGGAAUAACCUGGGGAAACUCGGGCUAAUACCGCAUAACAUCCGGGCUGCAAAUGCAGACCGGAGCAAGGGUCCGCAAGGGCCGCUUGAGGAGGGGGCUGCGGCCGAUUAGCUAGUUGGUGAGGUAACGGCCCACCAAGGCGACGAUCGGUAGCCGGCCUGAGAGGGCGCACGGCCACACUGGCACUGAAACACGGGCCAGACUCCUACGGGAGGCAGCAGUGGGGAAUUUUGCACAAUGCCCGAAAGGGUGAUGCANCAACGCCGCGUGAGGGAUGAAGGUCUUCGGAUCGUAAACCUCUUUCGACCGGGAAAAACGGGCGGGUGAAGAGCCCGCUCUGAUGGUACGGUGGAAGAAGCCCCGGCUAACUACGUGCCAGCAGCCGCGGUAAUACGUAGGGGGCGAGCGUAAU
rnacentral:rRNA from 1 species